UUAUCGUCGAAGAUUAAAUUUAAAUUGAUUGCUGAGGAUACUAAAUUUAGAAGAGUGCAAUUCUCAAACCGUAUUAAAGAUGCUUUGUCAAGAAAUAAAGUAGUAAGGGAAAGAGUGUUUCCAGUUUGCUUUCCUUCAAAAAGUUCUUAUACUGGUCAUUUUACUAGAGAUUCUCCAGACUUAACCCC
rnacentral:lncRNA from 1 species